rnacentral:rRNA from 1 species
UCCUACGGGGGGCAGCAGUAGGGAAUCUUCCACAAUGGACGAAAGUCUGAUGGAGCAACGCCGCGUGAGUGAAGAAGGGUUUCGGCUCGUAAAGCUCUGUUGGUAGUGAAGAAAGAUAGAGGGAGUAACUGGCCUUUAUUUGACGGUAAUUACUUAGAAAGUCACGGCUAACUACGUGCCAGCAGCCGCGGUAAUACGUAGGUGGCAAGCGUUGUCCGGAUUUAUUGGGCGUAAAGGGAGUGCAGGGGGGU